AGCGAACGCUGGCGGCAGGCCUAACACAUGCAAGUCGAACGAACUCUUCGGAGUUAGUGGCGGACGGGUGAGUAACACGUGGGAACGUGCCUUUUGGUUCGGAAUAACUCAGGGAAACUUGUGCUAAUACCGAAGGUGCCCUUCGGGGGAAAGAUUUAUCGCCAUUAGAGCGGCCCGCGUCUGAUUAGCUAGUUGGUGAGGUAACGGCUCACCAAGGCGACGAUCAGUAGCUGGUCUGAGAGGAUGACCAGCCACACUGGGACUGAGACACGGCCCAGACUCCUACGGGAGGCAGCAGUGGGGAAUCUUGCGCAAUGGGCGAAAGCCUGACGCAGCCAUGCCGCGUGAAUGAUGAAGGUCUUAGGAUUGUAAAAUUCUUUCACCGGGGACGAUAAUGACGGUACCCGGAGAAGAAGCCCCGGCUAACUUCGUG
rnacentral:rRNA from 1 species